rnacentral:rRNA from 1 species
CCUACGGGCGACAGCAGUGAGGGAUAUUGGUCAAUGGGGGAAACCCUGAACCAGCAACGCCGCGUGAGGGAAGACGGUUUUCGGAUUGUAAACCUCUGUCAUCUGUGAAGAAAAUGAAGGUAGCAGAGGAGGAAGCUACGGCUAACUACGUGCCAGCAGCCGCGGUAAUACGUAGGGAGAAAGCGUUGUCCGGAUUUACUGGGUGUAAAGGGUGCGUAGGCGGGCCUGCAAGUCAGAUGUGAAAGCCAUGGGCUUAACCCGGGACGUUCAUUUGAAACUGUAGGGCUUGAGUGAAGUAGAGGCAAGCGGAAUUCCCGGUGUAGCGGUGAAAUGAGUAGAGAUAGGGAGGAAAACCAGUGGCGAAGGCGGCUUGCUGGUCUUUAACUGACGCUGAAGCACGAAAGCGUGGGGAGCAAACAGGAUUAGAUACCCUAGUAGUC